rnacentral:rRNA from 1 species
UGAAUACGAGACGCUAAGGCGUUGAAGUAGUGUAUGUCAUACUUCCAAGAAAAGCUUGCACUGUCAUAGAUAAAAAACGCCUGUACCAUAACCGACACAGGUGGGUAGGUAGAGUAUACUAAGGGGCGCGAGAUAACUCUCUCUAAGGAACUCGCAAAAUAACUCCGUAACUUCGGGAGAAGGAGUGCCUUAUUUAUAAGGCUGCAAUAACAAGAUCCAAGCAACUGUUUAUCAAAAUCACAGGUCUCCGCUAAGUCGUAAGACGAUGUAUGGGGGCUGACGCCUGCCCAGUGCCAGAAGGUUAAAGAAGUUGGUUAGCAAUAGCGAAGCUGAUAACUGAAGCCCUGGUGAACGGCGGCCGUAACGAUAACGGUCCUAAGGUAGCGAAAUUCCUUGUCGGGUAAGUUCCGACCCGCACGAAAGGCGUAAUGAUUUGGAUACUGUCUCGGAGAGGGGCUCGGUGAAAUAGACUUGCCUGUGAAGAUGCGGACUACCUGCACCAGGACAGAAAGACCCUAUGAAGCUUUACUGUAACUUGAAAUUGAAAUUGGACUUUAUUCGCGCAGUAUAGGUGGGAGGCGUUGAUUGUAAUCUUGCGGGAUUAUUGGAGCCAUCAGUGAGAUACCACCCUUGUAAUGUUAGAUUUCUAACUUUGAAUCAUUAUCUGGUCAAAGAACAGUUUCAGGCGGGCAGUUUGACUGGGGCGGUCGCCUCCUAAACGGUAACGGAGGCGUACAAAGGUUUCCUCUGAACGGUUAGAAAUCGUAUCUAGAGUGUAAAGGCAUAAGGAAGCUUGACUGUGAGACCUACAAGUCGAGCAGGGACGAAAGUCGGUCUUAGUGAUCUGACGGUACUGAGUGGAAAGGCCGUCACUCAACGGAUAAAAGUUACUCUAAGGAUAACAGGCUGAUCUCCCCCAAGAGUUCACAUCGACGGGGAGGUUUGGCACCUCGAUGUCGGCUCAUCGCAUCCUGGGGCGGUAGUACGUCCCAAGGGUUGGGCUGUUCGCCCAUGAAAGCGGUUCGCGAGCUGGGUUCAGAACGUCGCGAGACAGUUCGGUCCAUAUCCGGUGUAGGCGUUAGAAUAUUGAGAGGAGCCUUCUUUAGUACGAGAGGACCGAGAAGGACAUACCUCUGGUGUACCAGUUAUCGUGCCAACGGUAAACGCUGGGUAGCUAUGUAUGGAGUGGAUAACCGCUGAAAGCAUCUAAGUGGGAAGCCCACCUCAAGAUAAGUAUUCC